GAAUUCGCCCUUAGAGUUUGAUCCUGGCUCAGGAUGAACGCUGGCGGCGUGCCUAACACAUGCAAGUCGAGCGAUCUUCUUCGGAAGAGAGCGGCGGACGGGUGAGUAACGCGUGGGUAACCUGCCCUGUACACACGGAUAACAUACCGAAAGGUAUGCUAAUACGAGAUAAUAUACUUUUAUCGCAUGGUAGAAGUAUCAAAGCUCCGGCGGUACAGGAUGGACCCGCGUCUGAUUAGCUAGUUGGUGAGGUAACGGCUCACCAAGGCGACGAUCAGUAGCCGACCUGAGAGGGUGAUCGGCCACACUGGAACUGAGACA
rnacentral:rRNA from 1 species